rnacentral:lncRNA from 1 species
GGCGGAUGGACGGGAAGGAGAGAGCGCUUGCUCCUGGGACUGACCUUUGCUCUAUAAACUGUUAAAGCCUGAACUUGGUGCCUCCCAUUUGAUGCUCGUUAAACAUCAUUGAUUAAGCGCUGUAUGACUGAAUAAGUGAAGAUGGCUAUUGUAGUCCACUUGUGCCAAAAUUUCGACAGUUAUUGAGUACCUGCCAGAGAUUCAGGGGAUAACAGGUAAUUUGGUGAGGACCACUGUGUACUCAGGGAGAUCUUAGGAGAAAGAAGGUAUGUGAACCAAUAAUUACAGUAAAAUGGGAUUGGC